rnacentral:sRNA from 1 species
UAGUAUAGGUUUUCUCAAGGGUGGUCGGCAUUCUCCUCCAUUUUAGCGAAGGGAGGUGAUGCUGCAUGACAGUAUAUGAAUCCUUAAUGAUUACAUUUGCUUUCGCGAGUUUGAUCAUAUCCAUUCUGUCAUUUCAUAAAAAAGACUAAAACCGCCCUUGAGAUUGGCCCCUCAUGGCGGUUUUAGUAACUUAGCUAUUUGUGUGUCGAUCCCUCUAAUGGGAACCUGCUAUUGUAUGGCCGUUUUGAUGUUCCAGCAUCGAAACGG